rnacentral:rRNA from 1 species
UACGGAGGGUGCAAGCGUCAUCCGGAUUUACUGGGUUUAAAGGGAGCGUAGGUGGGUCGGUAAGUCAGUGGUGAAAUCUUCGAGCUUAACUCGGAAACUGCCAUUGAUACUAUCGAUCUUGAAUUAUCUGGAGGUAAGCGGAAUAUGUCAUGUAGCGGUGAAAUGCUUAGAUAUGACAUAGAACACCCAUUGCGAAGGCAGCUUACUACGGAUAUAUUGACACUGAGGCUCGAAAGCGUGGGGAUCAAACAGG